UGAAAUUAGUGAUCGAAUCACAAUCACUGAUAUGUAGCAGCGGUCAUAAUAUAUUACUAUCGGUAUAAAAUGUACUAUAGAAAGUUAUAAUACGCUAUAACAGUAGAACGUAUAAGUAUUUUUUAAGUAACAGAAGAUUCCAUCUGCUCUGACAUAAGUGUGAAUGCUCUUUCUUAGAAAGUUCAACAUAAAUAAGUAAAAGUUAUCUUAAUUUGCGAAUUCAGAUAUUGAACCCAACACCGUGAAGUGAUAUUAGGACUCUUAAAUGUCAAGGAUAUUGUAGGUCUACACAACUAAAAAUGCCUGUACCUUCAAGUGUAAAGAAAGGAAAUUCUCUUAGUUACCAGAAGAGAGAUUUUGAAAAUGAUCCAAGCAACUAAGUACAAUUUAUCACCACUGGAAAACUGCUAACUAUUCAUGAAAGAUGAAUAUACAAGGCCUUUAACAACAACUUAAGACUAGACUGUCAUCUAAGUGGGAAGACAACUAGCCAGCAGCAUCCUACCACCCAUGCUAAGGGAUUGACUGCAAUUCAUAUAAUGCACCUGGAAGUGUGGAGAAUAUAUUAUUAUAUCACAUGGAUUUGAAUCGGGCUCACCAACUCUGAAAUCCAGGGCUCUACCACUGCAGGGCCAACUUAUGCUCAACAACGAAUAGGAGCAAUGUUUUGGCAAAAUUUCUUCAAGGUUAUAUGGAUAAAUUGUUAACUAUAUUCUCCCCCUUACAUUAAUUUAUAAUAAUUUCUUUACAUUUUCUUGAAGAAUCUAUUUUUUCCCUUAGAAGCCAUGAUCAUUUGUUAAUGGAUCUUAAUGCAAGUGUUUGUUUUCUCUUUUUUUUUUUACAUAGUUUCUAUAAACUAUUAAUUGGUAGUUGAAUAAUAUAAAAAGUUUGUAUUUCUAGCAUCUUUCUAUUGACAUGCUAAUAGUAUUGGUAAUGUUUUACAUUUUGCUCUUUGAUGUUAUGUGCAGUUUAAAAAAUCAUGGUUCACCUUCAAUUACAGAUGGGGUCAAUAUAGAACUGUUCAGAUUUUUAAAUAUUAUUUUUUUUUUUACAUCAGUCCAUCACUUUGAUGAUUAAGAUUCACCCCCCCCCCAAUUCCCAAGCACUUAUAAUGAUCAGUGGAGCAUCUCAGUACUUUCCCUAUGAUGCCUCAAAUAAACAUUAUUCUCCUCAGCCUUUUUAAUGACGCUAUCAUCAUAGAACCUGAUAAUACAUACUUAUAAAUAUAUUAAGUAAAGGCUUAUGGCUCCAUAAGUAAUACAUAGCAAAUCCUGCUUACAAGGAUAUAAAGGUGAAUAAUUUCUAAUAAUGAUAAUUGAUAGUGAAAAUUACUUACACAAGUAUUCCUAAACUUUGGUCAUCCAUGAUAACUAUGGUUUCUUGCAUGUCUCCCCUCUUUUUUUAAAUGAGUGAAACAGUGAGUUAAGUGACAAGAUAUAAUACACAUAUACACAUUAAAAUGCUAUAAGUGUUGCAGAAAUUAUUUAUUAUUUUCAUUGAUAAAAAUAAAUGCUUAAUUCCGCAUUAUUGCACCAGUAACUCUACCCUAAUUACUUUUGCCCUCCUGGGAGGCAUGCCUCAUAAUUUAGAAAAUGCUGUCUUACAACAACAACAACAAAACCACACACACACUACCAAACACUGCACUUAAUUAUGGCUAAAAGAAAGUACAUCUUGCAUGUAGCUUUAGCUUAAAUAAAGUUGACAUUUAUACAGCCAUUCACGAUCUGUGUUUCAUAUUUGUUUACAUGAGAAAGUUCUGGUUCCAAGGUUUAAAAAUUCUUGCCUCCUCCUGAUUUGUGCAGACAUUAUAACAAAAUGUGAUUUAAGUAUUCAUUUGAAAAAUCCAGGUCAGAAAGAGCUUUGGUCUGUAUUUCUCUUACACAUUAGUUAACUUGUAAUAUCUUCUCAUAUAUACACACACAUAAAGCUGUGUCUGUCCAUUAUCUAACUCCUGUGUUGUUGGGCCAAUUUCAACCCACUUUGUGGGAUACUAGUUUGGAAUAAGGGGCAUAUUAAUGGGGGUUAACAAUCCCCUCCACCCCUUAUUAUUGCUGUUAUUGAGCAUUUAUUACUUUUGAUGUAAGUUCACAUUAAUUACAUUCAUAGAUGGCGCCAUGUCUUUACACCAAAAACUUUAUUGAAUUUUCUAUAAAACAACAUAUACACAGUGUGGGAGAGAGCACACAAACAUCUUAUGUAUCUGAGAGAGCGCAGUAGCAUUCUCUAUGAAGGAAUGCAGUGAAAAAAAUGGCCACCACUACUGGAAUACCACAAAAGCUCAGCUGAAGUUUCACCACCAUAAAUAAGGCUGAUAUGAAGAGCCAUUUUUUGAGUUAUACCCACUUCCUACUUUAACCCAUGACCUUUCAACUUCAGCCUGUAAGACACUUAUGCGGCCAAUGACUGUUAAUUAAUUAAUCAUGUGAAACACCACAGAAGGACAUUAAAAGCUGGGUGUUGAAUGUGGGUAACAGAAAGAUUUCAAGCAAAGAUAAGUAAUUUUGAUGUAUUCUUAAUUGAAAUAAGUACUUUUAUUACAAAAAUUGUGUAUUUUUUAGACUGUAAAUGUAACAAUAAUCUAGAGGAUAUGUAUCUUUCAUUACAGUGGGUUCCAGUAGAUAUUCGUACUUGGAUGUGUACUCCUGAAAUGUCACAUUUUUGAGUAGCAUUCUAGGGUGUAUCUUUUCUUCAAAAGUAAGGUAAAAUUGAAACUAGUCGUAAUUUGCAAGAAUUAUCGAUACAACUUUUAUACACGUUUUAGCUUGUUAUUUCACAUGUAAGUGCAAGUUUAAAACUGAAAAAAAGUGUGUACAUUUACCUUCAAUAAUAAAAAGAUGCAACUGUCA
rnacentral:lncRNA from 1 species